UGCGUAGGUGGGCAAGUAAGUCAGUGGUGAAAUCUCCGGGCUUAACCCGGAAACUGCCAUUGAUACUAUUUGUCUUGAAUACUGUGGAGGUCAGCGGAAUAUGUCAUGUAGCGGUGAAAUGCUUAGAUAUGACAUAGAACACCAAUUGCGAAGGCAGCUGGCUACACAAAUAUUGACACUGAGGCACGGAGCUGGGAUCAAACA
rnacentral:rRNA from 1 species